UAAGGGACUAUUUUACACAACUGUAUACAAAUAUAUUUGAAAUCUGCAUUGAUUACUAUCCAAUACAACUUCUAAAUCAUAAAAAUGUCCUACAUCUGCACUGUUCAAUAUGUAGCCACUAGCUACGUGUGUUGAGUGAAUACUUGUACACUUAAAUGUGGCUCAUGCGACUGAGAAAUUGAAUUUUUCUGAUUAUUAAUUUACUUAAUUUUUAAUUAUAAUUGCAUUAUAAUUAGUUUAAAUUUGAAUAGUCUCAUGCAGCUAGUGGUAUUGUAUCAGAAAGCACAGAAUAUGAAAUUGAAAUUUUCUUAAGACAGUGUUAUUUACCAAAGUUAAAUCCAAAAGAGUAUUUAUUUUUAUAAAAAGCUUAAACAGACCAACUCUACAAAAGACAUACAGUUACUAAAGAAUCUCAUUCUCUCCCUCUGACACACACACACACACACACACACACAGACAACCCAUGUGAAAAAUGGGCAAAGAAUCUUAAAUAGGGAUUUCUCCAAAGAACAUAUAGAAAUAGCCAAAAAGAAAAU